UUUAAUGAUAAAACUGAAUAAGAAGUGUCGUCAGAUUGGAAAGCUGACGAUCCUGUUCUGAUUCUGACU